rnacentral:lncRNA from 1 species
UUACUUGUUUACAUCUUCUUUUGCAAACCAACAGAAACACUAAUAGAAAAAUGGCCGGUGUAAUGAAGUUGGUAUGCUUGGUCUUGGCCUGCAUGAUUGUGGCAGGUCCGAUCACAGCGAACGCAGCUCUGACCUGUGGCACCGUUAACAGCAACGUGGCACCGUGCAUUGGCUACAUAACCCAAGGUGGACCCCUUCCCGGAGCGUGCUGCACCGGUGUUAGUAAACUUAACAGCAUGGCCCGUACAACCCCGGACCGUCAGCAAGCUUGUCGUUGCCUUAAAACUGCUGCUAGCGCCUUAGGCCCUAGUCUCAACGCUGGCCGUGCAGCUGGAAUUCCCAAGGCAUGUGGAGUCAGUGUUCCUUUCCCAAUCAGC